CCAGAGUCUUCCUUGCAAUGCGAGCUUCUUGCAUCAUGACUUCUAGAUUCCAAGUAUGCAAAGCAAACGCUCGUACCCUGACUCCAUCUGGGAUUUGGAAUGCACUCAGGGAAGUGGCUGUGCAUGGAGACUAGAAAUGGAAGAGGCUUCCAAGGUCAUGCCUUUCAGGCUCCCUUCAAAUUCUACAGCUACUGUGAAGAGAGUUGCAUUCCCACAGAGAACAUGUCAGACUGGAGGAAAAUUGUGACAAAAGGUCUCCCCAAAGGUCUCUGAAACUUCGAUCUUAUCUCAUUCCACAAGGCAAAGGCCAGUUUCCUAAAUCAAAGAAUGAAACAAAGUACAUCUUUUUCAAGCAUUGUUUUGACAUCACUCCCUUUUAUACAACUGGACAGG
rnacentral:lncRNA from 10 species